rnacentral:rRNA from 1 species
CUUGCUGGGUGGAUUAGUGGCGAACGGGUGAGUAACACGUGAGUAACCUGCCCUGGACUCUGGGAUAACCCCGAGAAAUCGGAGCUAAUACCGGAUAUGACCUUUCCUCGCAUGAGGGUUGGUGGAAAGUUUUUCGGUCUGGGAUGGACUCGCGGCCUAUCAGCUUGUUGGUGAGGUAAUGGCUCACCAAGGCGUCGACGGGUAGCCGGCCUGAGAGGGUGACCGGCCACACUGGGACUGAGACACGGCCCAGACUCCUACGGGAGGCAGCAGUGGGGAAUAUUGCACAAUGGGCGCAAGCCUGAUGCAGCAACGCCGCGUGCGGGAUGACGGCCUUCGGGUUGUAAACCGCUUUUAGUAAGGAAGAAGGGGAGCUUGCUCCUUGACGGUACUUGCAGAAAAAGGACCGGCUAACUACGUGCCAGCAGCCGCGGUAAUACGUAGGGUCCGAGCGUUGUCCGGAAUUAUUGGGCGUAAAGAGCUCGUAGGCGGUUUGUCGCGUCUGCUGUGAAAUCCCGAGGCUCAACCUCGGGCCUGCAGUGGGUACGGGCAGACUUGAGUGGUGUAGGGGAGACUGGAAUUCCUGGUGUAGCGGUGGAAUGCGCAGAUAUCAGGAGGAACACCGAUGGCGAAGGCAGGUCUCUGGGCACU